AGAAUUGAUCUUGGUCAGGACGAACGCUGGCGGCGUGCCUAACACAUGCAAGUCGGGCGGAGUCAGUAAGAGGAAGUUUCGGAUGGAAUCUGUUGAUUAGCGGCGGACGGGUGAGUAACGCGUGAGCGACCAACCUUGCACAGGGGGAUAACGGACCGAAAGGUUCACUAAUACCGCAUGAGACCACGGUGUUGCAUGACACAGGGGUCAAAGGAGCAAUCCGGUGCAAGACGGGCUCGCGUCCGAUUAGGUAGUUGGAGGGGUAACGGCCCACCAAGCCUAUGAUCGGUAGCCGACCUGAGAGGGUGAUCGGCCACAUUGGAACUGAGAUACGGUCCAAACUCCUACGGGAGGCAGCAGUGGGGAAUAUUGGGGCCAAUGGGGGAAACCCUGACCCAGCAACGCCGCGUGAAGGAAGAAGGUUUUCGGAUUGUAAACUUCUGUCCUUGGUGAAGAGAAGAAGACGGUAGCCAAGGAGGAAGCCCCGGCUAACUACGUGCCAGCCGCCGC
rnacentral:rRNA from 1 species